GACGAACGCUGGCGGCGUGCUUAACACAUGCAAGUCGAACGGAAAGGCCCCUUUGUUGGUACUCUAGUGGCAAACGGGUGAGUAACACUUACAUAACCUUCCCUUGCCUUUGGGAUAACUUUAGGAAACUGGAGCUAAUACCGGAUAGGAAUCCUUGCUUCAUGGUGGGGGUUGGAAAGCUUCGGCGGUUUUGGAUGGACUCUCGACUUAUCUGCUUGUUGGUUGGGUAGUGGCUUACCAAGGCUUCUUCGGGUAGCCGGCCUGAGAGGGCGACCGGCCACACUGGGACUGAGGUACGGCAGAGAUUCCGAAGGGUGGGAGCAGUGGGGAAUAUUGCACAAUCGGCGGAAGCCUGGUGAAGAAACGCCGCGUGCGGGAUGACGGCGUUAGGGUUGAAGACCGCUUUCAGAAGGGGCGAAGCUUGUGGUGACGGUACCUGCAGAGGAAGCAACGGCUAACUACGUG
rnacentral:rRNA from 1 species